rnacentral:rRNA from 1 species
UGGAUAACCUACCUAUAAGACUGGGAUAACUUCGGGAACCGGAGCUAAUACCGGAUAAUAUAUUGAACCGCAUGGUUCAAUAGUGAAAGACGGUUUUGCUGUCACUUAUAGAUGGAUCCGCGCCGCAUUAGCUAGUUGGUAAGGUAACGGCUUACCAAGGCAACGAUGCGUAGCCGACCUGAGAGGGUGAUCGGCCACACUGGAACUGAGACACGGUCCAG